rfam:Oryza sativa Japonica Group DNA, chromosome 3, cultivar: Nipponbare, complete sequence.
AGCCAGGGCAAACCCUAGUUUCCGUGUCUAACUUUUACUGUCUGUCUUAUAUGAAUUUUUUUUAUAAUUUGUAUUUUUAUUGUUGUUAGAUGAUAAAACGUGAUUAAUAUUUUAUGCGUGACUUAUCUUUUUAAUUUUUUUCAUAAUUUUUUCAAAUAAGACGGAUGGUCAAACGUUGGACACGGAAACCAUGGUUUGUCUUUUU